GAUGAACGCUGGCGGCGUGCCUAAUACAUGCAAGUCGAGCGAACAGACGAGGAGCUUGCUCCUCUGACGUUAGCGGCGGACGGGUGAGUAACACGUGGAUAACCUACCUAUAAGACUGGGAUAACUUCGGGAAACCGGAGCUAAUACCGGAUAAUAUAUUGAACCGCAUGGUUCAAUAGUGAAAGACGGUUUUGCUGUCACUUAUAGAUGGAUCCGCGCCGCAUUAGCUCGUUGGUAAGGUAACGGCUUACCAAGGCGACGAUGCGUAGCCGACCUGAGAGGGUGAUCGGCCACACUGGAACUGAGACACGGUCCAGGCUCCUACGGGAGGCAGCAGUAGGGAAUCUUCCGCAAUGGGCGAAAGCCUGCCGGAGCAACGCCGCGUGAGUGAUGAAGGUCUUCGGAUCGUAAAACUCUGUUAUUAGGGAAGAACAAAUGUGUAAGUAACUAUGCACGUCUUGACGGUACCUAAUCAGAAAGCCACGGCUAACUACGUG
rnacentral:rRNA from 1 species